UGGGGAAUAUUGGGCAAUGGGCGCAAGCCUGACCCAGCGACGCCGCGUGAGGGAAGAAGGCCCUUGGGUCGUAAACCUCUGUUGUAUGGGAAGAAGGACGUGACGGUACCAUACGAGGAAGUCCCGGCUAACUACGUGCCAGCAGCCGCGGUAAUACGUAGGGGACGAGCGUUGUCCGGAAUUACUGGGCGUAAAGGGCGCGCAGGCGGAUAUUUAAGUCAGCUGUUAAAGUCAUGGGCUCAACUCAUGGAUGCGGUUGAAACUGGAUAUCUCGAGUGCUGGAGAGGUAGGCGGAAUUCCCGGUGUAGCGGUGAAAUGUGUAGAUAUCGGGAAGAACACCAGUGGCGAAGGCGGCUUACUGGCCAGCAACUGACGCUGAGGCGCGAAAGCCAGGGGAGCGAACGG
rnacentral:rRNA from 1 species